UACGUAGGGGGCAAGCGUUGUCCGGAUUUAUUGGGCGUAAAGAGCGUGUAGGCGGCCAUGUAGGUCCGUUGUGAAAACUCGAGGCUCAACCUCGAGACGCCGAUGGAAACCAUGUGGCUAGAGUCCGGAAGAGGAGAGUGGAAUUCCUGGUGUAGCGGUGAAAUGCGCAGAUAUCAGGAAGAACACCAACGGCGAAGGCAGCUCGCUGGGACGGUACUGACGCUGAGACGCGAAAGCGUGGGGAGCGAACAGG
rnacentral:rRNA from 1 species